rnacentral:rRNA from 1 species
AGUGAACGCUGGCGGUAGGCCUAACACAUGCAAGUCGAACGGCAGCACAGUAAGAGCUUGCUCUUACGGGUGGCGAGUGGCGGACGGGUGAGGAAUACAUCGGAAUCUACUUUUUCGUGGGGGAUAACGUAGGGAAACUUACGCUAAUACCGCAUACGACCUACGGGUGAAAGCAGGGGAUCUUCGGACCUUGCGCGAUUGAAUGAGCCGAUGUCGGAUUAGCUAGUUGGCGGGGUAAAGGCCCACCAAGGCGACGAUCCGUAGCUGGUCUGAGAGGAUGAUCAGCCACACUGGAACUGAGACACGGUCCAGACUCCUACGGGAGGCAGCAGUGGGGAAUAUUGGACAAUGGGCGCAAGACUGAUCCAGCCAUACCGCGUGGGUGAAGAAGGCCUUCGGGUUGUAAAGCCCUUUGUUGGGAAAGAAAAGCAGCAGGUUAAUACCCCGCUGUUCUGACGGUACCCAAAGAAUAAGCACCGGCUAACUUCGUG